AAGACUAUAGACCUGCGGAGUACCUGCGGAAGGAUCAUUAACGUAUCUAUGAUGGGGUGCGGAGCGCCCUGCUCCGGUCGAACGGCCGUGCAGCGGGUGCGCCGCCCCCGUCCCACCUCACAAACCCACUGUGAACAUUCACCGGUGGAGGGGGCUCGGUCUGCGCCGUGUCCCCGAUGCCGAAUACCCAAACUCCAGUUGCAAGGAACGUCGUGCGGACUCGGUGCCGCCUAAAACAUG
rnacentral:misc_RNA from 1 species